GCAGAGCAUCCUACGGGAGGCAGCAGUGGGGAAUAUUGCACAAUGGGCGCAAGCCUGAUGCAGCCAUGCCGCGUGUAUGAAGAAGGCCUUCGGGUUGUAAAGUACUUUCAGCAGUGAGGAAGGUGGGUAUGUUAAUAGCAUACUCAUUUGACGUUAGCUGCAGAAGAAGCACCGGCUAACUCCGUGCCAGCAGCCGCGGUAAUACGGAGGGUGCGAGCGUUAAUCGGAAUUACUGGGCGUAAAGCGCAUGCAGGUGGUUUGUUAAGUCAGAUGUGAAAGCCCGGGGCUCAACCUCGGAAUUGCAUUUGAAACUGGCAAACUAGAGUACUGUAGAGGGGGUAGAAUUUCAGGUGUAGCGGUGAAAAUGCGUAGAGAUCUGAAGGAAUACCGGUGGCGAAGGCGGCCCCCUGGACAGAUACUGACACUCAGAUGCGAAAGCGUGGGGAGCAAACAGGAUUACAUACCCCGGUAG
rnacentral:rRNA from 1 species